UACGGAGGGGGCGAGCGUUGUCCGAAGUUACUGGGCGUAAAGCGCGUGUAGGCGGGUUGCCAAGUCCGCUAUGAAAGCCCGAGGCUCAACCUCGGAGGGUCGGUGGAUACUGGCAAUCUUGAAGGUGCUAGGGGGAGAUGGAAUUACCGGGUGUAGCGGUGAAAUGCGUAGAGAUCGGUAGGAACACCAGUGGCGAAGGCGGUCUCCUGGGGCAUACUUGACGCUGAGACGCGAAAGCUGGGGGAGCGAACGGG
rnacentral:rRNA from 1 species